GGUUAAGCGACUAAGCGUACACGGUGGAUGCCCUGGCAGUCAGAGGCGAUGAAGGACGUGCUAAUCUGCGAUAAGCGUCGGUAAGGUGAUAUGAACCGUUAUAACCGGCGAUUUCCGAAUGGGGAAACCCAGUGUGAUCCGUCACACUAUCAUUAACUGAAUCCAUAGGUUAAUGAGGCGAACCGGGGGAACUGAAACAUCUAAGUACCCCGAGGAAAAGAAAUCAACCGAGAUUCCCCCAGUAGCGGCGAGCGAACGGGGAGCAGCCCAGAGCCUGAAUCAGUGUGUGUGUUAGUGGAAGCGUCUGGAAAGGCGUGCGAUACAGGGUGACAGCCCCGUACACAAAAAUGCACAUGCUGUGAGCUCGAUGAGUAGGGCGGGACACGUGGUAUCCUGUCUGAAUAUGGGGGGACCAUCCUCCAAGGCUAAAUACUCCUGACUGACCGAUAGUGAACCAGUACCGUGAGGGAAAGGCGAAAAGAACCCCGGCGAGGGGAGUGAAAAAGAACCUGAAACCGUGUACGUACAAGCAGUGGGAGCCUCUUUAUGGGGUGACUGCGUACCUUUUGUAUAAUGGGUCAGCGACUUAUAUUCUGUAGCAAGGUUAACCGAAUAGGGGAGCCGAAGGGAAACCGAGUCUUAACUGGGCGUUAAGUUGCAGGGUAUAGACCCGAAACCCGGUGAUCUAGCCAUGGGCAGGUUGAAGGUUGGGUAACACUAACUGGAGGACCGAACCGACUAAUGUUGAAAAAUUAGCGGAUGACUUGUGGCUGGGGGUGAAAGGCCAAUCAAACCGGGAGAUAGCUGGUUCUCCCCGAAAGCUAUUUAGGUAGCGCCUCGUGAAUUCAUCUCCGGGGGUAGAGCACUGUUUCGGCAAGGGGGUCAUCCCGACUUACCAACCCGAUGCAAACUGCGAAUACCGGAGAAUGUUAUCACGGGAGACACACGGCGGGUGCUAACGUCCGUCGUGAAGAGGGAAACAACCCAGACCGCCAGCUAAGGUCCCAAAGUCAUGGUUAAGUGGGAAACGAUGUGGGAAGGCCCAGACAGCCAGGAUGUUGGCUUAGAAGCAGCCAUCAUUUAAAGAAAGCGUAAUAGCUCACUGGUCGAGUCGGCCUGCGCGGAAGAUGUAACGGGGCUAAACCAUGCACCGAAGCUGCGGCAGCGACACUAUGUGUUGUUGGGUAGGGGAGCGUUCUGUAAGCCGUUGAAGGUGGCCUGUGAGGGUUGCUGGAGGUAUCAGAAGUGCGAAUGCUGACAUAAGUAACGAUAAAGCGGGUGAAAAGCCCGCUCGCCGGAAGACCAAGGGUUCCUGUCCAACGUUAAUCGGGGCAGGGUGAGUCGACCCCUAAGGCGAGGCCGAAAGGCGUAGUCGAUGGGAAACAGGUUAAUAUUCCUGUACUUGGUGUUACUGCGAAGGGGGGACGGAGAAGGCUAUGUUGGCCGGGCGACGGUUGUCCCGGUUUAAGCGUGUAGGCUGAUUUUCCAGGCAAAUCCGGAGAAUCAAGGCUGAGGCGUGAUGACGAGGCACUACGGUGCUGAAGCAACAAAUGCCCUGCUUCCAGGAAAAGCCUCUAAGCAUCAGGUAACAUCAAAUCGUACCCCAAACCGACACAGGUGGUCAGGUAGAGAAUACCAAGGCGCUUGAGAGAACUCGGGUGAAGGAACUAGGCAAAAUGGUGCCGUAACUUCGGGAGAAGGCACGCUGAU
rnacentral:rRNA from 1 species